GUCUACAGCCAUACCACCCUGAACACACCCAAUCUCAUCUGAUCUUGGAAGCUAAGUAGAGUCAGGCCUGGUUAGUACUUGGAUGGGAGAAUAUUCGAUUUGCUAGUUC
ensembl:rRNA 5S_rRNA 5S ribosomal RNA